GGCUUCUCUGAAGGUAGUGAGUGAUUUCAAUUGAUUGUUUAUGGUUAGAAAUCGAACGCCUUUCUCUAUUCAUUCCCCUAUUUUCUCACUGCUGUACUUGAGUAGUCUUAA
rnacentral:Y_RNA from 1 species